GCGCUGGUGGCACACUGGUUAAAGCACUUGGCUGUUAACCAAAAGGUCAGUGGUUCAAACCCACCAGCCGCU
rfam:Loxodonta africana unplaced genomic scaffold scaffold_0, whole genome shotgun sequence.